rnacentral:sRNA from 1 species
UCACCCUGCAUCCUCGCGACUAAUGACAAUCUUAAUCCCACGGGGAUCAAGCCUCUCAUUAGCCGCGCGAACCUCUGCAACGGAAGAUCAUGCUUAGCAACAAUACAUUAGUUUACGCAUAAUUGCUGCGGUCUGACUGUAAAAAGGGGCCAUAAAGGCCCCUUUC